UGUGGGGGGAAAAAUUGGGUCAAAAAGGAGAGUGGUGGGGAAAAGUGGGUUGAAAGGAGCCCCAAAAUGG
rnacentral:lncRNA from 1 species